GAUAAAGUGUCCAAACGCAGAGAAAAACUCCUGCUGAAGCGACUGAUCUCCACACUGUUAUAAAGAUGGCGUUUAUUAAAGAGGAGAGUGAAGACCUUAAGAUCGAGGAAACAGUCGAACAUGAAGAUCUGCAGAAACAAACAGACUUUAUUGAAGAGAAUGAGAGGAAAGAGGAGGAACAUCAUGUCAAAUUUGAGGAAAAAACUUUACAGACUGAUGGUAUUUUGAAAAGGAGAGACAGGAAUCGUUUCACCUGCACUCAGUGUGGAAGGAGUUUUGGAAGAAAAGGUGAUCUUAAGAUUCACAUGAGGAUCCACACUGGAGAGAAACCAUUCACAUGCACUCAGUGUGGGAAGAGUUUUAGCCAUUCUUCAAACUUCAAUCAACACAUAAGGAUCCACACUGGAGAGAAACCAUUUAUAUGCACACAGUGUGGGAAGAGUUUCAGCCGAUCAUCACACCUUUAUCGACACAUGAUGAUCCACACCGGAGAGAAACAAUUCACUUGCACUCUAUGUGGGAAGCGUUUUGGAAGAAAUUUCGAUCCUAAGAUUCACAUGAUGAUUCACACUGGAGAGAAACCAUUCAAAUGCACUCAAUGUGGGAACAGUUUCAUCCAAUCAUCAAACCUUAAUCUACACAUGAUGAUCCACACCGGAGAGAAACUAUUCACAUGCACUCAGUGUGGGAACAGUUUCAGCCGAUCAUCACACCUUA
rnacentral:lncRNA from 1 species